UACGUAGGGGGCGAGCGUUGUCCGGAUUUAUUGGGCGUAAAGAGCUCGUAGGCGGUCUGUCGCGUCUGCUGUGAAAACUCGGGGCUUAACCCCGGGCCUGCAGUGGGUACGGGCAGACUAGAGUGCGGUAGGGGAGACUGGAAUUCCUGGUGUAGCGGUGAAAUGCGCAGAUAUCAGGAGGAACACCGGUGGCGAAGGCGGGUCUCUGGGCCGUAACUGACGCUGAGGAGCGAAAGCAUGGGGAGCGAACAGG
rnacentral:rRNA from 1 species